rnacentral:rRNA from 1 species
CUAAGUUUGAUGGCGACCGGCGCACGGGUGAGUAACACGUAUCCAACCUGCCGAUGACUCGGGGAUAGCCUUUCGAAAGAAAGAUUAAUACCCGAUGGCAUAGUUCUCCCGCAUGGUAGAACUAUUAAAGAAUUUCGGUCAUCGAUGGGGAUGCGUUCCAUUAGGUUGUUGGCGGGGUAACGGCCCACCAAGCCUUCGAUGGAUAGGGGUUCUGAGAGGAAGGUCCCCCACAUUGGAACUGAGACACGGUCCAAACUCCUACGGGAGGCAGCAUG